UUCCUUAAGCUUAGCUUCCCCUGCUUGUAAACAUGUGCAGGAAUCUCACUUUCUGAUUGCUGGAAACUAAAAGUAAGGUACUUCUCAGUAAACUUUUGCUCUACAAAAGAAUUUAUGUUUAUGAAAAUCAUUUUCUUAACUUAUGCUAAUCUUCUAAGACUGCAGUAUUCAGCCAUAACCUUCCUUUACAAAGCUUGGACACGCUGGCACAAAGCCAAGAGAUAUCUGCCUAGACACACCAGGGUGGAAUUUGGGGAAUGUAAAGUGGAAGCUUAGCAGUAGUUGCAGCACCUGGGAGCAGCCAGCCUUCAUACCUGCCUUUGGAAAACACAGAAUAUGAAUCUCGAGUCCAGGAGGAACCAGUUCAUAUGAAUCUCUGAAAGGACCCACCACCACGCAGUUGAGGGGAUCAAGUUACUGAAGACCAGUGGAAGAGACAGAGAGGAGAAAGAUAUUUGGGUUCUGUGGCUUUGCACCACUCAGGCACAUCCCCCAUCCUGUUGUGGCAGAGAAGAUAACGCUUCAGCCAGAGAACUUGUUUCCAAUGUCAGCCUGUAACCAGCUUAUGCCUGAAGAAAAAGAGACUGAUCAGCCAUUGUGGUCUUUAUCCUGGCAGCUGAAUAGCCUGCGUGAAUAUCAACAUUAUCAUAAAUCACUCAAUUGCUGAAAGUCAUCUUCCCCUCAGAAGGAGCUGAAUAGCAACCGUUUCUAAAUCCUUAUGUACAUCCAUUUACAGCAGCUGAGCUGUGGGAGUACACAGACCUAUUUUUCAGCUAGCAUGAUAAUCAAGCCAUUCCUCAUUUAAGAGUGAAUUCAUUUGCCUUGGUAUUAGUCCCAAAUAAUAGUUCAGGAAAUUGAUAUGUAAUCUCCAACUAAAACUUAGAUUAAGAUGAGGCCACCAAACUCCUUUAUUCCUUAAAACACAUUUAAAGCCCCCAGCCAGACUCUCAUCUUGGUGUGAAUCCAAACAUACUGUAUUAUAUUUAAAAGCCACUGCUUUAAACUGGGGGUUCUCAGUAGCCCCAGUCUAGCCAUAAAGAUCAGAAUCUGUCCUUAAUAUCCCUGCACACUGGUACUGUGCAGAACUAGCUCCAGAGUAUUUAUAGCUCACACUAUAUAUACACACCACAGCUUCUAAAAGCAUAUUUUAUCUUUUGGGAGGACAAUGCUUUCAGAAAUGUAAUAAAAGGAAAAGUUUUGCUAAAAAAAAAAAAAAAAAAAAAUCUAAAAAUCUGCUCAAACCCUUAACCUGGAAGAGUGGCCUCAUGCUGCCAAUCAGAUAAUAAGCUUAAUUAUUACAUCACACUUUAUUUGUAGCUCACUGUGUAGUUAAUGGUUGCAGCUUAUCUAACAGGAGAAAUGUGAAACCAGAGUUUUAGAACAAUAGAAACAAGGCUGUCACCAGCAGGCUGCCAAUGAAUCACGUCCCCGCAGUCAAGUUCCCCCAGAAGGUCAUUUGUAACAGAAAUACAUCUCCUCCUAGAGCUGGUAAAAUGCUGAAAAGUGUUUCUCAGUUUUACCCUAACAAAAUAUCAAGCAGAUCAAUUACCAGAACAACUUCACCUGUUUGUAUUUUUAUUUUCUGUCGAUUGCAAGAUUUAAUAGUAAAGGUUACUUAAUAGCAAUAGUAAAGUUACUUAAUGGUAAAGUAAGCAGGCCUGCUUGGUUCUGUGUCUGGGAUUCGAGAUGUGGUUUUACCUUCACCCUAAAUUCAAUGUAUCUAAACUCCAAGCUUUUAUAAGCCUUAAGAGAAAAGUGAUUCACUGUUCUCUUUCACAUUUUCAAAAAAAAAAAAAGAAAAAAUUAUUUUUAAACACGAAGUAACUUUCUUCCAUACCAUUCAAAACUGAAACCCUGAAACCACUGAAAGACAGUGAGUUCUGUAAAAAGGGUUCGCCAAGAAACAGAAAACAGCUCUGACACUUUCGUGUCCAGAAAGAUAUGCAGAAAAAGGACAAGGAAGUGCAAAAGAAAAAUCAGGUACUACCCGUGCCAUAAAUAUGGAAGCCGGUUUUGCUCAUACAUAAUAAUUUUAAAGUAACUGCUCUGUCUGCAGCUUAAAGAGAAAAAAAAAAAAAAAAAUCUCUUCUGCUGCACUUGCAAAAGAGCUCCAGAUUUUCUGCAAGAGGGAAAAGAACAGAUGAUGGGGGGAGCUAUUCUUUUAAGACGAAUGUCAUUGGCACAAACAGCUGGCAGUUGGUGGCGUAUUAUUUAUAUGUGCAGUUGCUCAUGUUUUUUAACAGAUAAGAAAGCAGUAUCUCAUUUGCAAUUCAGGUGAGGCACAUGAGUGGCUCUACAGCGCCACUAGCCCCUAGGCCAUGUUUCUUAUCAUAUCAGAAACAUCUGUCACGGUGCAAAUGAAUUCAUUAUAAAAGCACAUCAAAUAUGCAGUUUCAGGAUGAGACAGCAGUCUGCAACGAAACCAAAAAACCAGCCUCCCCCUGUAAAAGCUGGGAUGGUCUGUCCCAUAUUCACCAGCUGGGAGGAGGGCAAGCCCUGGGAGGGGUAAGAGGGGGAAAAAAAAAAGAGAGAGAAACCUUGGAAAUGUCAUUAUUAUAAAUUAUCCCUUCUCUAGGAGCCGACUGUGCCUGAGAACGGGCUUGCUCACAAGGGUCUGGUGGUUCACACAGAGCGUGCAGACAGGCUGCAAAGUGAUUAUCACAUCACUCCAUGCCGAGUCCUCUGCUCCUCUGGGCUGCAAACAGACCUCACUAAUCCUGGUCUUUGGGGUCCAGAGGCCUUUGCUUGACAAAAUACCUAUAGACUGGGGUAGAAAAGGUACAUGGGAAGGUAGUCAGCAUGGGAGUUACCAUUAGAAGUGCACUUGUGUGGGCACCAUGGUCAGAGAUGGAAAUGAAUCCAUUUUAAGGGCAGCUGAUGGUAAGAUGAUAGGAGCUUCCACUUCCAGGGAACGCAAGGUGCAUCUUUGGUCUGUGCUGAGAAGAAAACCAGGAUGUAUUGGAAACCACUCGCGCACCCAUGUUCAUCCUUGCUGUAAGGAUGCGCACCUGGCACAAAUUUAGAAUGCAACAAUUCACAAUAUGGGCCAUGUUUGUCUCUGGUGGCAUUCUCCAGGUUUGGGCCUAAUACUCCUGUGAGUACAAUGACAUUUUUGUGCUCCUCUUUAGCAGGGACAAAGACAGCUCAAGGUGACUUCAAAAUCCCUUACGUCUAGAAGAGGCCUAGAAAUGCCUCUCUAGCUCUGGAAGCAGGCGGCUGCAUUGAGAUCCCCAUCUGUGUCACACUGAGUCACCACUACCUGCUGUGUCUUUGGGCUUUUAUUGAAAAAUACAAGAGAAAAAUUACUGUAUCUUUUGCCCUUGCUGAGAAGCACUUCUGAACUUCAGCUGAUGCACAGGGGAAAACUAUGGACAGAUCUUGGGCUGGACCACUACUUCUUUAGCCCCUGCACAGCACCGAGGCACACGCUGCCUUUUCUGUCCUCUCAGGGACCCCUUUGGUGAGCCUACAUGGCUGCUGCUGCAAUUGUGGAUGAAAUGUGAAACAUCCCCAUUUCCCCCCCAAGGAGUACUAAAAGCAGGCAUGCAGCUUAAGAAAAAUAGAGGAAAAUACCUAUUUUAACUUUGCUUCUAAUCACAAAACAUAUAUUCUUAAAUAUGCACAUAUCAGCAGAAACAGGGGGUAAGGGCUCCCAUUCUAAAACAAACAGAAACAUGCACUUUGAGCCCUCAUAUGAAAUGGCAGUAAAAGCCCAACCCGAUAAUUAUUUUCCUUGAUUUUCAGCCAGACGAGGCACAAGACAAAUAAGUCAUCAAGGACAAAUAAAAGGAGGUUCAUUCAUCGCAUUCAGGGCUGGAAUCUUUAAUGGUCACCAAAUGAACUAAGAUAACUAAGUAACCAUUGUAAAUAUUAAUCUUUAAAGGAAAACAAUACUCCCAACAACAGGAAGCCUGAUAAGACAUUGGAUGUUGCCAUCAGUGUUAUGGAGUCUCUCUAAUUUCCUUAGUUUUUUCUUAUGCCUGUAGAGGGAUCAGGAAGGGGAACAUAUGGUAUCUCUCAAAGGAAGUAAAUUAACAUUAUUAAUAGCUAAUGUGGGAGAGGUGAAGCAGUGAUUGUUCGUGGUGGUUGUUAUUGUGCUUUUGUUGGGGGGGAAGCCUGCCUGCUAGUGAGUUUAAGCACUCAAGCCAAAUUCAAAAUCUUGUAUUUAUAAACAGAGAUCUGAUAACAGUUGCCUAAGCAUCCAUGAUGCUUUGCCAGCGCACGCACGUCAAGCUGAUCUGAAGGGACUGUGUCUUGGGGUUUUGUCCUAGGAGUUAGCUAACACAGAUGAGAACUUACGGCAUGGUUCCUGCUCCCAAAUAACUCCUCAUGUGGACCCUUACAUUCUUCUUUGCAUUAGUUUAUUUCGAAGCAGGAGGAACAUGGAUGGGUAGGCCUGUACUUCUGAGGAAAAGCAGUCCUCUGACAUCCACUGAGGCAGCUGGUCAAGGAACCAUUGAGUAGGUGGGUUCUCACAUGCCAUGGUCACUGAUGUGGGAAUUCUACUUUCAAGUGCAGAGUGAUGGCACCAGCAGGUUUCUGGGGGCUGUGCAGCAGUGUGGUAUGCAAGUAGCAGAAUUAUUUUGUGGGAAGCGAUGGUAACAAAGUGCUGUAUUAGGACAGAUUGAAUUGGUGACCUGGAAAGGUCUCUCAGAGUCCUGGGAUCCCUUGCAGUUUCCCCACACUAAGAGAAGAAUUCACCUUUCUUAGGCCUCUGCUUUCAUCCCUCUCCCAGAGUAUUUAGAGUACUUACUUACUCUAAAUAACAUUGUCACUUAAAGAACUUACAUUACAAGCUGUUGAUACUCAAAAGAGUAGGACCCUGAUCCCAGUCUCAGCCUUGUUUUUCCUAGAGCACCUGAAAGCAUGAAAUGCAUUCCUCAUUUCUCCAAGAGAUCCUAUACCACCUACUUUCUUCCCAGUCAUGAAACCCCAAUGCAAUUCCAAGCUGGCCUGGCAGAAUUGGACUUUGUGGCACCUUUCACACUGAGACAACCUGCAAAAUUGGCGGAUCUCAGUAAGAAUGAGAGGACUUGAUUAGAAUUACCCAGUGAUACCAGUGAUAAAUUUACCCAGUGAUACCCAGGGAUAAAAUUACUCAGUAGAUAUAAGCAAGUUCUAGGGGAAAUUGUUCAAUAAAGUCUUCAGAAAGAAAACAGUGAAUUUUGGUAUAAUUAAUUCACUAGAUCUUAAUAAAAAUUGAGUAGGCUAGUAAGAAAGCCUCAUGCUUCAGGGCACAUGGUGAUUGCUUUAUAGAGACAAAGGAAUUCUCUCUGCUCUUGAAAGCUUAUACUUAACUGCAAGUUGACAGCUGGAUUUUGGU